ACGGCUCAGUAACACGUGGACAACCUGCCCUUAGGACGGGGAUAAACCCGGGAAACUGGGUAUAAUACCCGAUAGGUCUCGAGUGCUGGAAUGCAUCGAGAUCUAAAGCUCCGGCGCCUAAGGAUGGGUCUGUGGCCGAUCAGGUAGUAGUGGGUGUAGUGUACCUACUAGCCUACGACGGGUACGGGUUGUGAGAGCAAGAGCCCGGAGAUGGAUUCUGAGACACGAAUCCAGGCCCUACGGGGUGCAGCAGGCGCGAAAACUUUACAAUGCUGGCAACAGCGAUAAGGGAACCUCGAGUGCCAGGUUACAAAUCUGGCUGUCGUGAUGCCUAAAAAGCAUUGCAUAGCAAGGGCCGGGCAAGACCGGUGCCAGCCGCCGCGGUAACACCGGCGGCUCGAGUGGUAACCGUUAUUAUUGGGUCUAAAGGGUCUGUAGCCGGCCGGAUAAGUCUCUUGAGAAAUCUGGCAGCUUAACUGUCAGGCUUUCAGGAGAUACUGUCUGGCUCGAGGCCGGGAGAGGUGAGAGGUACUUCAGGGGUAGGGGUGAAAUCUUGUAAUCCUUGAAGGACCACCAGUGGCGAAGGCGUCUCACCAGAACGGACCUGACGGCAAGGGACGAAAGCUAGGGGCACGAACCGGAUUAGAUACCCGGGUAGUCCUAGCCGUAAACGAUACUCGCUAGGUGUCGGCCACGGUGCGACCGUUGUCGGUGCCGUAGGGAAGCCGUGAAGCGAGCCACCUGGGAAGUACGGCCGCAAGGCUGAAACUUAAAGGAAUUGGCGGGGGAGCACCACAACGGGUGGAGCUUGCGGUUUAAUUGGAUUCAACGCCGG
rnacentral:rRNA from 1 species